GGGUUGUGAGGUUAAGCGACUAAGCGUACACGGUGGAUGCCCUGGCAGUCAGAGGCGAUGAAGGGCGUGCUAAUCUGCGAUAAGCGCCGGUAAGGUGAUAUGAACCGUUAUAACCGGCGAUACCCGAAUGGGGAAACCCAGUGUGACUCGUCACACUAUCAUUAACUGAAUCCAUAGGUUAAUGAGGCGAACCGGGGGAACUGAAACAUCUAAGUACCCCGAGGAAAAGAAAUCAACCGAGAUUCCCCCAGUAGCGGCGAGCGAACGGGGAGGAGCCCAGAGCCUGAAUCAGCAUGUGUGUUAGUGGAAGCGUCUGGAAAGGCGCGCGAUACAGGGUGACAGCCCCGUACACAAAAGCGCAUGUGCUGUGAGCUCGAUGAGUAGGGCGGGACACGUGGUAUCCUGUCUGAAUAUGGGGGGACCAUCCUCCAAGGCUAAAUACUCCUGACUGACCGAUAGUGAACCAGUACCGUGAGGGAAAGGCGAAAAGAACCCCGGCGAGGGGAGUGAAAAAGAACCUGAAACCGUGUACGUACAAGCAGUGGGAGCCCCACCACUAAGCCAGUGGUGAACUCCACAUACGCAUCCUUUGCUGAGGAUACGGUUAACGGAGCGCAAGCGACGUUCAACCUCAAAAGAAGCAGAGGGGGCUUAGUGGUGGGGUGACUGCGUACCUUUUGUAUAAUGGGUCAGCGACUUAUAUUCUGUAGCAAGGUUAACCGAAUAGGGGAGCCGGAGGGAAACCGAGUCUUAAUUGGGCGUUAAGUUGCAGGGUAUAGACCCGAAACCCGGUGAUCUAGCCAUGGGCAGGUUGAA
rnacentral:rRNA from 1 species